rnacentral:rRNA from 1 species
UAGGGAAUCUUCCACAAUGGGCGAAAGCCUGAUGGAGCAAUGCCGCGUGGAGGUGGAAGGCCUACGGGUCGUCAACUUCUUUUCUCGGAGAAGAAACAAUGACGGUGUCUGAGGAAUAAGCAUCGGCUAACUCUGUGCCAG